UAGCUCAGCUGGGAGAGCAUCUGCCUUACAAGCAGAGGGUCGGCGGUUCGAUCCCG
rnacentral:tRNA from 1 species